rnacentral:rRNA from 1 species
GACGAACGCUGGCGGCAUGCCUAACACAUGCAAGUCGAACGAGACCUCCGGGCCUAUUUGCGCACGGGUGCGUACCGCCUGGGAACCUGCCCUUGGGUUCGGAAUAACUCCCUGUAAGGGAUGCUAAUACCGCAUAAUGUCUUCGGACCAAAGAUUUAUCGCUUUUGGAUGGGCCCGCGUUGGUUUCGUCAGUUGGUAGGGUAAAAGCCGACCAUGGCGACGAUCCAUAGCUGGUCUGGGAGGAGGAUAAGCCACGAUGGGACUGAGACCCGGCCCAGAACCGUAGGCAAGGGAGGGGUGGGGUACAUUAGGCGAUGGGGGAUGGCGUGAUACAGCAAUGCGGGGGAAGUGAUGAAGGCCUUAGGGUUGUAAAGCUGUUUUACCCGGAAUGAUAAUGACAGUACCGGGAGAAUAAGCACCGGCUAACUCCGUG